GAGUUUGAUCCUGGCUCAGGAUGAACGCUGGCGGCGUGCUUAACACAUGCAAGUCGAACGGGAAAUAUUUCAUUGAGACUUCGGUGGAUUUGAUCUAUUUCUAGUGGCGGACGGGUGAGUAACACGUGAGCAACCUGCCUAUCAGAGGGGGAUAACGAUUGGAAACGAUCGCUAAUACCGCAUGACAUAGCGGAAUCGCAUGGUUCUGUUAUCAAAGAUUUUAUCGCUUGAAGAUGGACUCGCGUCCGAUUAGUUAGUUGGUGAGGUAACGGCUCACCAAGACCGCGAUCGGUAGCCGGACUGAGAGGUUGAACGGCCACAUUGGGACUGAGACACGGCCCAGACUCCUACGGGAGGCAGCAGUGGGGGAUAUUGCGCAAUGGGGGCAACCCUGACGCAGCAACGCCGCGUGAAGGAUGAAGGUUUUCGGAUUGUAAACUUCUUUUAUUAAGGACGAAAAAUGACGGUACUUAAUGAAUAAGCUCCGGCUAACUACGUGCCAGCCGCCGCGGUAAUUC
rnacentral:rRNA from 1 species